GUCACCUGGAGAUCUUGUUAGGAUGCAGGUUCUGAUUCAGCAGGUCUGGGGUGGGGCCUAGGGAUCUGCAUUCCUAACAAGCUCCCCAGUGAUGCUGA
rnacentral:pre_miRNA from 1 species